rnacentral:rRNA from 1 species
UACGUAGGGUGCAAGCGUUGUCCGGAAUUAUUGGGCGUAAAGAGCUCGUAGGCGGUCUGUCGCGUCGGCUGUGAAAACCUGGGGCUCAACCCCGGGCUUGCAGCCGAUACGGGCAGACUAGAAUUCGGUAGGGGAGACUGGAAUUCCUGGUGUAGCGGUGAAAUGCGCAGAUAUCAGGAGGAACACCGGUGGCGAAGGCGGGUCUCUGGGCCGAUAUUGACGCUGAGGAGCGAAAGCGUGGGGAGCAAGCAGG